rnacentral:rRNA from 1 species
UACGAAGGGGGCUAGCGUUGCUCGGAAUCACUGGGCGUAAAGCGCACGUAGGCGGAUUGCUAAGUCAGGGGUGAAAUCCUGGAGCUCAACUCCAGAACUGCCUUUGAUACUGGUGAUCUCGAGUCCGAGAGAGGUGAGUGGAAUUCCGAGUGUAGAGGUGAAAUUCGUAGAUAUUCGGAGGAACACCAGUGGCGAAGGCGGCUCACUGGCUCGGUACUGACGCUGAGGUGCGAAAGCGUGGGGAGCAAACAGG